rnacentral:rRNA from 1 species
UACGUAGGGUGCGAGCGUUAAUCGGAAUUACUGGGCGUAAAGCGUGCGCAGGCGGCGCGUUAAGACAGGUGUGAAAGCCCCGAGCUUAACUUGGGAAUUGCGCUUGUGACUGGCGUGCUGGAGUGUGGCAGAGGGAGGUGGAAUUCCACGUGUAGCAGUGAAAUGCGUAGAGAUGUGGAGGAACACCGAUGGCGAAGGCAGCCUCCUGGGCCAGCACUGACGCUCAUGCACGAAAGCGUGGGGGACGCAAACAGG